GGUAUAAGUAUGGGCCAGNNUUUUCGGAUUUANUGGNGUAANGGAGCUUAGCGGCAAGGCAANUCAGAUNUGAAAGACCGGGCUCAAUUCNGGGUUGCAUUUGAAACUNUCUAGCUAGAGUNUCGGAGAGGUAAGCGGAAUUCCUGUGUAGUGGUGAAAUGCGUAGAUAUUAGGAGGAACAUCUGUGGCGAAGGCGGCUUACUGGACGAUAACUGACGCUGAGGCUCGAAAGCGUGGGGAGCAAACAGGAUUAGAUACCCUGGUAGUCCACGCGGUAAACGAUGAAUACUAGAUGUGGGGGGUCUGACCCCUUCCGUGCCGGAGUUAACACAAUAAGUAAUCCACCUGGGGAGUACGACCGCAAGGUUGAAACUCAAAGGAAUUGACGGGGGCCCGCACAAGCAGUGGAGUAUGUGGUUUAAUUCG
rnacentral:rRNA from 1 species